GACGAACGCUGGCGGCGUGCUUAACACAUGCAAGUCGAACGAUGAACCCGGAGCUUGCUCCGGCGGAUUAGUGGCGAACGGGUGAGUAACACGUGAGUAACCUGCCCUUGACUCUGGGAUAACUGCGGGAAACUGUAGCUAAUACCGGAUACGACCCUCGGCGGCAUCGCCAGGGGGUGGAAGGAAUUUCGGUCAAGGAUGGACUCGCGGCCUAUCAGCUAGUUGGUGAGGUAACGGCUCACCAAGGCGACGACGGGUAGCCGGCCUGAGAGGGUGACCGGCCACACUGGGACUGAGACACGGCCCAGACUCCUACGGGAGGCAGCAGUGGGGAAUAUUGCACAAUGGGCGCAAGCCUGAUGCAGCAACGCCGCGUGAGGGAUGACGGCCUUCGGGUUGUAAACCUCUCUUAGUAGGAAAGAAGCGAAAGUGACGGUACCUGCAGAAAAAGCACCGGCUAACUACGUGCCAGCCGCCGCGGUAA
rnacentral:rRNA from 1 species